UACGGGGGGGGCAAGCGUUGUUCGGAAUUACUGGGCGUAAAGGGCCCGUAGGCGGCCAACUAAGUCAGACGUGAAAUCCCUCGGCUUAACCGGGGAACUGCGUCUGAUACUGGAUGGCUAGAGGUUGGGAGAGGGAUGCGGAAUUCCAGGUGUAGCGGUGAAAUGCGUAGAUAUCUGGAGGAACACCGGUGGCGAAGGCGGCAUCCUGGACCAAUUCUGACGCUGAGUGAGCGAAAGCCAGGGGAGCAAACGGG
rnacentral:rRNA from 1 species